AAGCCAAGUUCACAUCAAUGAUUUGCAAUGAGACAAAACGGUUUUAGAAUGUUGCAGAGAAAAUUGCAGCAGUGUGAACUGGUUAGUUGCAGAGCGUCUGAAGCCGUUGCCUGGGGUCUCAAAAGACUUACCUUGUCAAAUCGCCAAGUGCAGUUUUAGAACAUAAUGACAUAGCUAUUUAUCUUCAGCCAAUCAGGACACAGCAGAGGACAAUGCUGGAAACAUGGCGGAUUUCUGUACAGAGGGGAGGGAAGACCAGCUCAUCCAACUUUUUGAAGAACAGCAUUCAUUUUACGAUUGUACCUAAAAAAAAAAAAGGUACUCCAAAAUAUUAAACAAAAAAAACACCCUUUCUUUGAUUGCAAGCAUCCUGGGUGUGUGGACAAACAAACACAGCAUACACUGUCAAGCAUGGAGCAGAAGGUGGCCAGGAUCAAGGUACACCCAAACUGUUACAAAGGUUGUCCCAAGACACAACGAUGAUGGCUGACCAAUGGAGACAUUGGGGGAGACUGAGGGGAGACUUGACAUCAAUAGACUAGAGUCAGGUCUCGUGAACCUCAAAGGGAGCGCUUGAAUUCACCUUUUGUUCGUCCCUAAACGAGACGCUGGGGAGACUGCGCCAAUCUAGUCCACAGAUCUCAAAGAGAGGGAGAGCCACGCUUGGAUUUAAGUAAUGCGGUGCUCCUUGUUGAACAAAUUCACCAUUGUGACUCGUUAGUCUGAUACUAUCCACAUACCUGCUUUUGGGGAAUGCAUGUGAAAAGGCGGUCUGCAGUCUCUGCCAAGAGGAGGGAUGGAGUGGUGAGGAAAAAGGAGGGGCUCUACUUAAUGGGUCACAAAUUCACAUUGAGAGGAGCCACAUCUGCAUUUUAUCAGCAGGGCCCAGAUAGUGUUACAGGGGACGAUUGUCUGCAGAUUGGCCAUUGGGCCUUUUAAAGUGGUAAAUUGUUGAGCAAAAGCAGAGCAGCACACAGGAUGACGUAGCAUGGUGCCGCCUGCCACUCAUGGAAGCUGUCAGACUAACAGCGUUGAAAAAGGUCUGACGAGUUUUGAGGAUGUAUUUGAAAUAUUCUAGUUGUUGUUUAACUAACACAUGAAUGUUUCAUUUCCUUAUUCUGUCUUUGCAAAAAAACGUGUUUGUGUGUGAGCAUGUCUGUUCAGUUAUAUGUACAUAGGGAUCAGAGCAACUCAGACUUCUAACCCUGAUUCAGGCAAUUUCAGCAGUCUCUAGUCCACAGUUCAAGCUAAUUUUCUUUUUAUUUACACUCCCCAACAUCAAAAGCAUCAGUGGUAAUUUGGCAGAAAGCCGUUAUCUGUCCAGACAUGGUCUCUUCCCAUGGCUGACCCAGAACAUCCUCUGACACAUCUUCUCCACAGGGAGCUGUGGACGUGGGGGCCAGCGUGGUCUGACAGCGAAACAAGUCCCGCGAGGCAUCCGAAUCCCCGCAGGGACCUCUUGUCUCUUCCCUCUGCUUCAUUACCAUCUUCCCCCUCUUUCUCCCCUUUCAUCUGCAGUCUAUCGCUGGCUCCAAGCCGCUCGCAUCCGGGAAUAUGGUGAAUAGGGGUGGGAGGCUACAGACGGAGCGGGAGCGGAUAUGGGAAAAGGCAGAAUAAACAUUACAAAGAAAGGGGAUUUUCAUUUCAGUUUUAAAGCCUGCUUUUUGACAAUGAAAAUUGACACAUAAAUAGAAAAGAGGCAAAUUUUGGCCGUGGGAUUAAAGACUUUUCCUCUCUAUUACAGCUCAGGUGGUUUUAAACAACAAAGAUUAUCAUUUUUCUUUUCUUUUUUAAUAUCCCCUACCAGUGACAGGGUCAACUGGAAACUGGACUUCAUCAUAUACAGAACCUGUAAUUACACAUGACAGACCAAUAGCAUUUUAGUGGAAUAACUGAAGUGCACAAAUAGAAAAAAUGUAUAAACAGGGAUAAAAGCACGAAGGGUAAAAUGUAUUAUAUCAGUCACAAGCACUACAGUGUGGAUGCUGCAGGAGUUGAUUUGCAGGUUUCUGAUGAUUAUUUAUUGCUCGUUAUAACUUCUGCACUUAAAUUUUGUGCAUAAAAAUGUUGCCAUUGAUCUUGUUUUUAUUGUUGCCACAUUUCUUUGCUCCGAAAGAGAUUUUGAUAGUUCCCUGUAUGACAACAUAACCCAGUCGAUAGAUAAAUCAGUGAGCCACAUUGCACAGUUCAGCAGAAUCCGCUGCACAAAAGAGACAAGGGAAAGUUAUUCCAUUUGUCUACAAAGCGGCGGAGGCCAAUAAAGAUGUUCUGACCAAAUCUCUUCACUUUAUCUUAAUUGUCUUGAGUUGAUGGGAGGGAGAGCCGUUCCACUUUAUGAUCACCUAUUUGCCCUCUAAUGGUGUUUAUAAAAAGGAUGGGAAUAAACAAAUUAGGGGAGAUGGACAGGAUAAGGUGCAC